GACAACCAGAGGUCACUCUCGUUGCCAUUUUUGUUUUGAUGGGUUUUGGCCGGCUCCUUUUCUGCAAGCUGUUUUAUUAGCAAGGUCUUUAUGACCUGUAUUUUGCGCUGACCUCGUAUCUCAUCCUGUUACUUAGAAUGCCUUAACCAUCUGGAAAUGCUGCCCAGAAAAUUUCAGCUUUAUUUUACCCAGCUUCUAUUUAAGAUGGAGUUGCUCUGGUUCACACGCCUCUGACGCUGGGACUCAGAUAUUUUAAAUAUGGCUCUCUGCUGAUAAUGUUGAAUUUCAU
rnacentral:lncRNA from 10 species